UACAGAGGUCUCAAGCGUUGUUCGGAUUCAUUGGGCGUAAAGGGUGCGUAGGUGGCGCCGUAAGUCGGGUGUGAAAUUUCGGAGCUUAACUCCGAAACUGCAUUCGAUACUGCGGUGCUUGAGGACUGGAGAGGAGACUGGAAUUCAUGGUGUAGCAGUGAAAUGCGUAGAGAUCAUGAGGAAGACCAGUGGCGAAGGCGGGUCUCUGGGCCGAAACUGACGCUGAGGAGCGAAAGCGUGGGGAGCGAACAGG
rnacentral:rRNA from 1 species